GAUGAACGCUGGCGGCGUGCCUAAUACAUGCAAGUCGAGCGAACAUACCAGUAGCUUGCUCCUCUGCCGUUAGCUGCGGACGGGUGAGUAACACUUGGAUAACCUACCUCUAAGACUGGGAUAACUUCGUGAAACCGGAGCUAAUACCGGAUAAUAUAUUUCACCGCAUGGUUCAAUAGCGAAAGACUGUUUUGCUGUCACUUUUAUAUGUAUCCGCGCCGCCUUAGCUAGUUGGUAAGGUAACGGCUUACCAAGGCAACGAUGCGUAGCCGACCUGAGAGAGUGAUCGACCAGACUGGAAGAGAGAAACGGUCGAGACACCGACGGGAGGCAGCAGUAGGGAAUCUUCCGCGAAGGGCGAGAGCCGGACGGAGCAAAGCCGCGGGAGUGAUGAAGGACUUAGGAUCGGAAAACGAUGUUAUUAGGGAAGAACAAAUGUGUAAGUAACUAGGAACGUAUUGACGGUACCGAAUCAGAAAGCCACGGCUAACUACGUG
rnacentral:rRNA from 1 species